AUGGGAAUCGAACCCACAAUGUUCCGCUUACCGGGCAGAUGCCAUGUCCACUAGGCU
rnacentral:tRNA from 1 species